rnacentral:tmRNA from 1 species
GGGGGUGUCAGGCUUCGACUUUGGGAUUUGAGGUAUGGGAAGCGAGUCGUGGUAUCCGGACCCACGUUAAUGAGCCGGGGCAAAAAAUAAACGCCGAGCCUACGCUCGCACUCGCUGCCUAAUUAACGGCGCGACGUCCUCCCAUCCCGAGCUCUUAGGGGUGGUUCUGGGCGACAUCAAAUAGAGAUAAGCUCGACCAACGCCUGUAAGGAAGAGACGAAAACUAAAACGGGCUAAGGGUUAGAACAGAGGUAACCGGUACUCUAACCACAAAAAUUACUUGGCUACUGCACUCGGAGAAGCCAUACUAACGAACCGAAGGACGCGGGUUCAAUUCCCGCCACCUCCACUU